rnacentral:snRNA from 10 species
GGAUGUGAAGGCGAUCUGGCUGUGACAUCUGUCACCCCAGCGAUCACCCGGGUUGAUUUGGCUGAUCUUGCUGACAAGUCGGGUGUCCCCUUCUCCAUCACCACUCCAUGUGUGACCUCCUGAAGCUGUGCCAAAGCUUCCCCGAUAGAGGAGGACCGGUCUUCGGUCACAGAUAUAUGAAUAGCUGCACUCCCCUGCUAGAACCUCCAAAAAAGCUCUCAAACUUCACCGGGACUCCUCUCUGCAGGGGUCUUUCCUGUCUGCAAGGCCUCAGCCACCACCACUAUCCUCUCUGCAGGCCAAGGCCGAUGGCAGAGAAGACACCAUU